rnacentral:tRNA from 1 species
GCCGGUGUGAUGGAAUUGGUAGACAUGAGUGAUUCAAAAUCACUUGCCCUCUGGGCGUGGCGGUUCGAGUCCGCCCACCGGUA